CCUACGGGAGGCAGCAGUGGGGAAUUUUGCGCAAUGGGCGAAAGGGUGACCCAGCAACGCCGCGUGGAGGAUGAAGUCCUUCUGGACGUAAACUCCUUUUAGAGGGGACGAAAAGCCCGAUUUGUCGGGAAUUGACGGUACCCUCAGAAAAAGCACCGGCUAACUACGUGCCAGCAGCCGCGGUAAUACGUAGGGUGCAAGCGUUGUCCGGAUUCACUGGGUGUAAAGGGUGCGCAGGCGGGCUCUUAAGUCAAAGGUGAAAUCUCUCGGCUUAACCGAGAAAUUGCCUUUGAUACUGAGAGCCUUGAGUACGGGAGAGGGAGAUGGAAUUCCAGGUGUAGCGGUGAAAUGCGUAGAUAUCUGGAGGAACACCGGAGGCGAGGGCGGUCUCCGGGCCCGUUACUGACGCUCAGGCACGAAAGCGGGGGGAGCAAACAGGAUUAGAUCCCCCUGUAGU
rnacentral:rRNA from 1 species